rnacentral:rRNA from 1 species
UACGGAGGGUGCGAGCGUUAUCCGGAUUUACUGGGUUUAAAGGGUGUGUAGGCGGGCUGUUAAGUCAGUGGUGAAAUCUCCGGGCUCAACCCGGAACUGCCAAUGAUACUAAUAGUCUUGAAUGUUGUUGAGGUAGGCGGAAUAUGUCAUGUAGCGGUGAAAUGCUUAGAGAUGACAUAGAACACCGAUUGCGAAGGCAGCUUGCUAAACAAAUAUUGACGCUGAGGCACGAAAGCGUGGGGAUCAAACAGG